GUUGACCUCGAAUCAGGUAGGGAUACCCGCUGAACUUAAGC
rnacentral:rRNA from 1 species